UCUAGCCAUGCUUCUCUUCGCGACCUAGUGCUAAGUGCUAACAAGCAUCCGGUCUGUACUUGGAGUCAUAGCUGCCCUGCGACCCACUCGCACGGGCCUCCCCAGCGCACUCCGGCCCUGGCCCCGUCGUCCCCUCACUCUCCUCUCCCCCGCCGGCGCAGCAGCGAGCAGAUCCUCCGAUAGCCCUCGCCGCACUCUCCUCCUCGCCCCCCUCCCCAUAUCUGUCGGCGACGAGUGAGCUCUCGUACGCCCCGCUCCGGGGAGCGUCGCCGCCGUCCUUCCUCGCGACGGCGACGCGUGCAGCGGCGGAGCGGGAGGAGGCGCCCAAUGCUCUCGUACUGGUCUGAUGGAAUACCGUCGGCAGCCAAUCACCAUGACGAAAAGAAGCCGUGGGACCGUCCUUGACGACCUCCCCGAGUGGAUUGUCAUCGAAGAGAUCCUCAUCCGGUUGCCACCAAAGGACGUUCUUCGCUGCCGCGCUGUCCGCAAGUUGUGGUGCAGUGCCACCUCCACCGACAAGUUCAUGCUCGACAACUGCCUACGCCAGCCGUCGCUCCCUGUUAUCAACCAGGAUAUCCCUGGGCAGGAAGGAGUCACCUUCGUUGUCUUCCGUGACAAUGUUGUCGGAGCCUCUGAUCAAAAACUCUGGCCAAUCAUUCAACACUCUAAGUUCCAUAAUCUCCUGGGAGCCUGUGAUGGCUUUCUCAUCUUGUCCGAUGGAUCCCAUUUCUGGAUCUGCAAUCCGGCCACUCGCAGAUGUGCUCCGCUACCACAACCUCGAGUUCCAUCGUCAUAGCCAGGGGGGUCCUGCAUCUACAUAGCUGGCUUUUACCGGCAUCAUCCAUCUGGGGAAUACCAGGUGCUCUGGUUCUCGCAUGGCUGCGAACGUGGCUACAUUCUCUCGGUAGGAUCUGACAAGCCGAGAAUGAUCAGACGGCUGUCAGUGUCAUGGCGUUUACCAAAAUAUAGGCGCGAAGGGGCUUUUGAUUCCUGCUAUAGUUCACAAGUCAACCACCGCGGCAGCCUGCACUGGUUAACAGGAAUCUACACGGAGACUGCCGUGGACAUUAUGGUGUUUGACACAGUAACUGAGACGUUCCGGUGGAUGCGCAGUCCUGACCAGUUGGGCCAACGGUUGUCGUUGUUAGAGAUGGAUGGCAAGCUUGCUUCAUGCAGCAAAAAUGAUGCCUACAUAGAGAUUUGGGUGAUGCAAGACUAUAAGGCUGAGGCCUGGGCCUUGAAGUACCGGAUUAACUUGUUAGCGAUGAAGACAUCACCACUAUUCGACUAUAUUUCUAAGAUGGCACUGCUUAACCAGCGUGAGCUGCUGAUCUGUUGUCACAAUCCAUUGGACAGUCCUGACUAUCUUUUGCACUGUGACAUUGACGGAAAGUUUUUGGGAUAUUACGAAAUUAAAGGGGGAACGUAUUCAGUAUA